UGUGUCCUGGCUAAGAUUCAGGCAACUGGACAAUGAAAGAGGAAACAGACUGCACAUCUUGACUUUCCUCCAGCACUCAGUGACUUCACAGGGAGCUUGUAUUAAAGCACUUUGGUGCUUUUUUGAGUAGCACUAGGACACAUUGAAAUAUCACCACCCAGCCUGGGCAAACCAAAGACUUUAUCUUCAGCAAAGCCAAAGGAAGAUAUUGCAUUCCCUGAGGAAGCCGAUAUACCUCAGCUGGCUCAACAUUAUUUGUUUGUGGUUGGAGCAAGGGGAUUCACUGUCCUUGGAUGGAAAUCUUUGUUGUGGAGAGCCCUGCCAGAUACACUGAGCACUUUAAAUAUCUGAACAGAUGCUCCCUGGAAGGAAGCACCACCACCAGGGAGUUGGGACCAAGACACAGCCAGGAGGACAGUGAGUUUCCAACUGCUCCUUCCUCUCUCAGCUCGUCUUGCUUGUGCCGAGUAACUUCAAGAUAAUUAGGGGAGAGGCCAGAGGAAGGGGACAUGGCU